AAUACAGCCGCAUGAUUAUU
rnacentral:miRNA from 1 species